UACGGGGGGAGCAAGCGUUGUUCGGAUUUACUGGGCGUAAAGGGCGCGUAGGCGGUCGUGACAAGUCACUUGUGAAAUCUCCGGGCUUAACUCGGAACGGUCAAGUGAUACUGUCGGACUAGAGUACAGAAGGGGCAACUGGAAUUCUCGGGUGUAGCGGUGAAAAUGCGCAGAUAUCAGGAGGAACACCGGUGGCGAAAGGCGGGGUCUCUGGGGCCGAUACUGACUGAGGAGCGAAAAGCGUGGGGGAGCGAACAGG
rnacentral:rRNA from 1 species